rnacentral:rRNA from 1 species
UACGUAGGGGGCAAGCGUUGUCCGGAUUUAUUGGGCGUAAAGAGCGUGUAGGCGGCCAGACAGGUCCGUUGUGAAAACUCGAGGCUCAACCUCGAGAUGUCGAUGGAAACCGUCUGGCUAGAGUCCGGAAGAGGAGUGUGGAAUUCCUGGUGUAGCGGUGAAGUGCGCAGAUAUCAGGAAGAACACCUAUGGCGAAGGCAGCACUCUGGGACGGUACUGACGCUGAGACGCGAAAGCGUGGGGAGCAAACAGG